GCCAGGCAUAGUGGUGCGUGCCUGUAGUCCUAGUUACUCGGGAGGCUGAGGCAGGAGGAUCACUUGAACCCAGGAGUUUGAGGCUGCAGUAAGCUAUGAUCAAACCAUGGCACUCCAGCCUGGGUGACAGAGUGAGACCCUGUCUCUC
ensembl:misc_RNA Metazoa_SRP Metazoan signal recognition particle RNA